UACGUAGGUCCCGAGCGUUGUCCGGAUUUAUUGGGCGUAAAGCGAGCACAGGUGGUUUAUUAAGUCUGAUGUAAAAGGCAGUGGCUCAACCAUUGUAUGCAUUGGAAACUGGUAGACUUGAGUGCAGGAGAGGAGAGUGGAAUUCCAUGUGUAGCGGUGAAAUGCGUAGAUAUAUGGAGGAACACCGGUGGCGAAAGCGGCUCUCUGGCCUGUAACUGACACUGAGGCUCGAAAGCGUGGGGAGCAAACAGG
rnacentral:rRNA from 1 species